rnacentral:rRNA from 1 species
CCCUUAGAUGUCCUGGGCCGCACGCGCGCUACACUGAGUGUCUGAGAUACGAGCCUGCCUGGUCCGGCAAGGUCUAGGUAAGCGCUAAAAGACACAUCAUGCUUGGGAUAGAUUAUUGCAAAUAUUAAUCUUGAACGAGGAAUUCCUAGUAAGCGCAAGUCAACAGCUUGCGUUGAUUACGUCCCUGCCCUUUGUACACACCGCCCGUCGCUACUACUGAUUGGAUGUUUAAGCGAGGUUCUCGAACUGCUAGCGACUUAGCUUCGGUGAGGUCGCAGUGUGGGAAGUGAACCUAGCUUUGGUGUCUAGAGGAAGUAAAAGUCGUAACA